CCUGGAAGUGCUUCAAUUUCACCAAAACCGUGAAGAACCCUAGAAUUUGGUGUUUCCAAUUCGACCUUCAAACUUGUUCCAACGCCUCUACUACCUCUUGGGCUUUGUUCUAGGUCCUAAAGGAAUGCUAAUGAUGUUAGUAAUUGAAAGAAAACAUUUCAAAAUUUCAAGAAUUUAAACAAAAGGGUCGCGGCACCCGUGUGGGUGUUCUUCGCGAAAUCACAACGAAAUUCAAUGAUUCUUGGGGUGAAACAUAAAGAGGGAAGGCCUAGAUGUUGAUUGGGAGUGGUACCUUGAUCCAAUUCGUUGGAAAAUUGGACGAAACGGCGAAAACCCGCCGAUUUGGAAGCUUGGGUCGCGCGGGUCAAAGGUGACCCAUUCCUCCUGUUCCCCCGUGCACCACUCUCCCUCCUUUCCCUCCUUUCCUUCCCCUGGUUGAUCAGUUUCUUCCUCUCUCUUCUUCUGAUUCGCUCGCAUCUUCUUCUUCUCCGAUUGGGCAUUUCUGCCCAGUCUCUUCUUCUUUUCUGUUUUCUGUUUCUUCUUCUCAUACACAUACACACACCAAAAACCUUUCCCUCAUCCCAGCCAACCAUUUCAUUCAUCAUUAAAUCUGGGCCGUCCAUUUUCAUAAAAGAAUUUCUAUAUUUUACUAAAAUUAUAAUUCCUUAAAAUCCCAACUUCAAACUUUAAUAACUUCUUCGAUAUAACUCCAAAUCACGAACCGUCUGCGCCCAUGCGUCCGUAACGACGAGUACUACCAGGAUAUGCCAAGGAAACAAAUCUUAGAUGGCACGACAUGGUGAUUAACCUCGAAUAAUGCACGUACCUUCAAAGGGCAUUUUUGUAAAAUCCUUUAUCAAAACUUUAAAAAUUCUUAAAAUUAGGGACGGGCUGUCACAAUCUACCCACCUUAAAGAAAUUUCGUCCUCGAAAUUUACACAAUCUUUACAAUCCAUCAAUAUCCAUGAAACAGCCCGAAACACAUCUCUCUCAUUCGAUUCUCUGAUUUUCAAGUAGUUUCUUCCACUGAAAGAUUCCUCCAUAAAUUUUCACCAAACUCAUAGUCUUAUUUCUCAGUACAUCAUCUUUCUAAUACAAGAUAGGCACUGGCUCAUCAUCAUACGUCAAAUCCAGAUUGACUUCCAAAGGUUGAGGAGGUAUCACUCGUGAAGGAUAUGAGGUUUAAUGUCGAAGUAUCGAAACAUAAAACAUAUCGUGCCCUUUCGUUGACUCUGGAGGCAACUCAGCCUGAACGUAACUUCACUGACUCGUUCGAUGAUCACAUAUGGUCUGAUGUAUCUAGGACUUGCUUGCUUUUCUUUUUAAAACGAAUCAUACUUUUCCAAGGUGAUAAUUACUUGAAUAUUCCAAAUAGUCUCAUCUACUAACUCAGGGCCUCGAAUACUAACCGUCCCCAAUUCUAAUAAUUUCGAAACACAAGACAUAGCUUUCCACGGCCUUAUGGCGUUACUCUAGGGAACAAACUGAAGGGACCACAUACCCAAGAAGUUUAUCAGAUCCCAAAUCUCUUUUUCCAUCAAACAAAUAAAUAACUGUUGCGCUUGUCUGGAAAGGUUGAUGUUCUCAUACUGAAGUAACAUACGCUGACGUCACCAGUCGAUCAAUUAUUAUUCAAAUUCCAACCUAACUAUUUGGUAUACGAGGAAGCUUGUCCAUGAAAUCCAUAGUAAUAUUCUCUCAUUUCCGCCGUGGAAUGGGAAAUGACUACAUUAUUCCAAAAGACUUAUUUCUUUCUGCUUUAACCUGAUGACUGAUGAUACGCUUACUAACAUACUUCGCCAUUUCUCUUUUCAUACUCGGUAAAUAGUAAAAUGUUCGAAUGAUAAGAUACGUUUUAAUACCUUCAUGACGCCUUGCAUAAGCUGCACCGUACGCUUCGUCCAUAACUGGUUUCUUUAAUUCCAUAACAUUAGGUAUAAACACCUUGUUCUCUUGCAUAAGCUUGCCAUCUGAUUCUCUAACUCUAAGGUCUUUCUUUUUCCCGUUAUUCCUUGCAUUAAAUAAAUUCUUGAAUUUCUUCGUCAAACGCUUGAGUCUCGAGUACGAUCUACCAAAUGGGUCCAACUUGGAAAUUAGCAAGGCUUCUUCUCGAUUUUCGAUACCAACUUUACUCCAGUAGAUUUCAAAUCCACAAGAAGAUGAACAUAGCAAGCGUACCAAGCAUUAAUUCUCACUGGGGUCUUCCUACUAAAUGCAUCAGCCACAAUAUUAGCUCGACCACCCUAGUCGCACAAUCAUAAUCACUAAGCAACUCAAUCCACCUUUGUUGCCUAAGAUUAAUAUCUCUCCGCGUAAACAUAUAUUGGAGACUCUUAGGAUUCAUUAAAAUCUUGCAUUUCUCACCAAUAAUAUAAUGUCUCCAUAACUUCAAAGUAAGAAUGAUAGCCGCCAAUUCCAAUUCACAAGUAGGGUAAUUCGUCUCAUGAGAUCUCAAUGGCCAUAAAGCAUAAACAAUCAUCCUACCAUGUUGCAUCAACACGCAUCCAAGAACAUUCAACGUAGCAUCACUAUAAACCUUAUAAUUACCGCUAUAAUCUGGAAGCGUUAAAACAGGCGUGAAGUGAGAUAAUACUUCAGCUGCUGAAACCUUGCUCACAAUUUCAUCCACUCAAACCUAACCUUUUUUUCUCAUCAAUCUCGCCAAAAGCCAAGCAUUGAUUAAAAUCUUGGACGAACUAUCGAUAAUAUCCUGCUAAUCCGAGAAAACUCUGAACCUCAGUCACGGUUCGCAAUUGUUCCAAAUUCUCAAUCGUUGCUACUCUUUUAAGAAUCCACUUGAAUACCUUAAGUAGAUAUAAUUAAUUUAUCCAACAUUAGCAUUUGUUAAACUUAGCAUACAUCAACAUUCCCUCAAUCUUUGCAACACCAAUUUAAAAUAUCUAGCAUGCUCCGUUCUAUUCUUAUGAAUCUCGUCAAUGGCAAACAAUAACAACCCGGUCUAGAUAUCACUGGAAUACUUCCUUCAGCAAACUCAUAAAAAUAGUAGGUGCAUUCGUCACUCCGAAUGGCAUCCCAACUUGAAAUGACCAUAACGAGUCCUGGAUUCAGUCUUAUGAACAUCCUCACUGCUAAUCUUCAACUAAUAUUAUUCAGACCUCUAGUCAAUCUCAUAAAGUACCCAGGCGCCUUAGAGCUGAUCAAAUAAUCAUCAAUACACAACAAUGGAUAACGGCUCUCAAUCGUUAUCCGAUUCAAUUACCUAAUAUCAAUGCCUAGCCUUAAUGUCCACUUUCUUCCUCACAAAUAAACCGGAGCUUUUCCAAUAUGAUGAAUUAAGUUGAAUGGAACUUUUAACUCAACUUGAACCAAUCUCUAACAUAAGAUUUGCACCUAGAGACAAUUCAAUAGUGAAACCCACAUCUCUGCCUGGCGGCAAUCUAGGUAAGUCAUCUGGGAAUACACCAGGAAAAUGUCUAACCAUCUUUACAUCUUCCAUACUAUUAGGAUCAACAUCAUUUAGCACCAUAUGAACUAAAUAUCUUAGCAGCCUUUUGAUAACAAUCUUCUUUGCUCUCUCAACAGGAAUAAUGGCAUGACUCACUCCACUUUGCUUACCCCCAAGAGUAAUCUCUAGUCAUCUAGGUCGACAAAAAUUAACUGAUUCUCCAUAGCAAUCUAGCUUGGCACAUUUAUACUGCACCCACUUGUGCCAAAAAAUCACCUCAAAAUCCAUAAUAUCCAACGGAAUAAAAUUCACUGACAUGACAUUUUUCACCAUCACUGGACACCCUGAAUAAACCAAAUCAACAUAAAGUGCCUUACUUGUUUACUUACUUAACGAAUCCAACAAAUAAGUUAUAAAUAUUACGGUCUGCAGCCCGCAAUACAAAUAACUCACUGUUGUCUCGAUAAGUAAGUAACAAUUCCUGAAGGGUGUAAUAUUAUCAUCUUGUUCUUCCUUAGAAAUACAUAAAUACGCCUCAAUCGUGCUCCAACAUUACUUUCUUUGGCAACAUCGACCAUAAUAAGAAAUAUAUCAGCCGGAGUUAGCUAGAAUGACAUGUACGGCUGAGUCUACAACUCGACCAUCCAUGCUAGCACAUAAGUCGGAGUCACAUAUAGUGACCUGUACGACUUACUCGUCAAUUUUUCCAAGUGAUAUGUUAAGGAAGACUGUUGGGUAACAACUGAUUCCAGGGACAAUUCAUACCUCUAUGUCCCAUCCGUCCACAUGAACACAUUCACUGAUUCCCACACUCUCCAAAGUGUCUAAUAUUAUACCUAUGGCACAAAGGUACAUUUCCCUUACUCGAGUCACCUUGUCUUUAAGAUCUGGGAUCACCCGUAAAUUUAUCACUUCGCCUCGAACCAGUGGCACUAAAACCUCAGCUGGGAAAAUUAGCUCUAAUUUCACUUCCUUUGAAGCUCUGAGUCCUUCGACGUCCUUGAUAUGACGAAUCUUUAACUUUAUCGUCUUAUUCUUAUUCUCAUUCCUUUCUUAUUCCUCUUUACUCUCGCCGAUCAUAUUCUCAAAGUCCUCAAAGCCCAACAACAUCUCGUAAACUCCUGGUAAAAAGUACAAUGGAUUGUGGUCGUCAAAGAACGCCAAUUCUUCUUAUUAUCCAGCCAAAAACGACAGAACACCUUGACCGGAUUAGCAACAACAUCUGAAUGGAAACAAGGCAAGUCUGUAUUCAAAUUUAACUUAUAUCCAGUUUCAAAAGUUCCUUUAGAUAAUAGACUGAAUCAUAGUGACAAUAAUUUCCCCAAAACUACUAUAUCAGGGAAAUUAGGCUUAUUCGAACUACGUGGCUCGCUACGAGGCGGUAUAGUUCUGACAGAAGACACUAGGAAAUUCUCAAGAUGUCCAGAAUUGCAACCUAGGCUCUGAUACCAACUGACACACCCCGUCCCGAAGGAGGGCGUGCUGGCCGUCACGUGAGAGUGACGUAACCAUUUACACAGUUCGGAAGCUUUAAAGAAUACAAUUACUAAGAUAACACACCCGAGGGUGAGUCAUACUUUUGUGAAUUCUGUUAGAACACCGUUGGAUUCCUCGUGGCCACCAAAGCUCUGCCAUCUAGGACCUGGAGGGGCGCAAAACAAAAUUGAGUGGGUCAGUAAAACAAAGUUUUUCGAAAACAUUUCAUUUAAAACAUUUCUAACCCCUCACCGUAAAACCUGUAUACUUUCCCAGAAAAAAAAAAUAUAUAUAUAAAACCAUAUGAAAUCUCAAAACUUAAAUCCCAAAUCUUUAACAUUUUUCAAGAAAAAUAUGCCAUGCCAUAAAUCAAAAUAUAAAUCAGGUGAAAUAAGGAAUCAAUCGGAGACCCUGCAGUUGGUCCUAUACGAUUAAUUCAAUAGCUCAAUAUCCCACUAAGCCGGAGUCACCACAGUGACCUAUACGGCCCUACUCUGCACAUCACUCGGAACUACGUAAGGUAGUCUAUACGAUGAAAGGUGUAAAAAUACGCUCUAGUGCUUCUCUCAUCAAUCAUCAGCGCGCAUAACUAAGGUCACCCACUAGUCGGAAUCACGCCUAGUGAUCUGUACGACUAGCAUGUCGGAACCCUCACAUGGUCUGUACGACAUCCACCUACUUGGAUCCAAGGCGAGCGUGCGGUGUGGUGAAUAAUAUAAGCACUAACACCUAGGGUGCAAGUUAUGAGCUCAAAACAUCUCAACAACAAACAAUUCAAUGAAUAAAUGAACUCACCUGACUUACCUGUGCCUCCACAGCACCAUGCAACAUGUAUGCAUCAUAUAUCAAUUCAUUCUUUUCAUAAACUUCUAUGCUUGGCAUUUCAAUUCAUACUUUUCAUAAACUUCUAUGCAUGGCAUUUAAAAACAUUUUCUCAUAUAAAUGCAUUUCUGGGAAAACAAUAGUAUAUAGGUAAUACGAAAACAAAACUGCCCACUCACCUGGAGUUCGCCCAACAACUUCCUAGCACCGUACAUCAAGGCGUCAUGAAGAUUAGCGCCUAGAACAAUAAUUAAAUCCAACCUCAGAAAUCAUGCCGAUAGAAUACAUAACUUAUAUAAGACACGUCUCUACGUAGUUCGAUCCGGAUGAUCUGCAACUCAGAUUUCAAAUCCGUAACUUCCAGAGGUCCACAAUAUACCUCUAGGACAACAUCCUAAAAUUUCAUUACCAUCCAACGGUCGGAUCUCCGUCAAUUUCCAAAACUAAGUGACGGUUAACAUUCUAUUUUAUGAACUUACAACUUCAAUUCCGGAAGAUCCGUAAAUUGGAUUCCCAAUCCGUAAGUUCCUAUAAUCCUCAAAUAUUACGUAUUACAACGUAUCAAAGUUUGAUGACGAUCCAACGGUCGGAUCGUCAAUUCACAUUUUCACCUAACCAUGAAUCGUAACCAACUUAGGUUCAAUUAUUCAAUUUACGUCCAUCAAUUAUCAAAACUGAACCUAGAACCUUAAUCACAUGCUAAUAAUGACAUUGGCGGGCCAUUGGCCACGCACCGCCGCGCGGGCCGCCGCGGGUGGCGGUUGGCCGCCCCGGCUCGCCGGAAAAUUCAACUAUUUCCAAAAAUUACCAAAAUUUGCAGAUUUGAAGAUCUCAAUGAGUAGAACAACUUUCAUACCUGUGGACAAGGCCAAUUGGGCCUGGAAGUGCUUCAAUUUCACCAAAACCGUGAAGAACCCUAGAAUUUGGUGUUUCCAAUUCGACCUUCAAACUUGUUCCAACGCCUCUACUACCUCUUGGGCUUUGUUCUAGGUCCUAAAGGAAUGCUAAUGAUGUUAGUAAUUGAAAGAAAACAUUUCAAAAUUUCAAGAAUUUAAACAAAAGGGUCGCGGCACCCGUGUGGGUGUUCUUCGCGAAAUCACAACGAAAUUCAAU
rnacentral:lncRNA from 1 species